UAAGCGUGUAGGCUGGUUUUCCAGGCAAAUCCGGAAAAUCAAGGCUGAGGCGUGAUGACGAGGCACUACGGUGCUGAAGCAACAAAUGCCCUGCUUCCAGGAAAAGCCUCUAAGCAUCAGGUAACAUCAAAUCGUACCCCAAACCGACACAGGUGGUCAGGUAGAGAAUACCAAGGCGCUUGAGAGAACUCGGGUGAAGGAACUAGGCAAAAUGGUGCCGUAACUUCGGGAGAAGGCACGCUGAUAUGUAGGUGAAGUCCCUUGCGGAUGGAGCUGAAAUCAGUCGAAGAUACCAGCUGGCUGCAACUGUUUAUUAAAAACACAGCACUGUGCAAACACGAAAGUGGACGUAUACGGUGUGACGCCUGCCCGGUGCCGGAAGGUUAAUUGAUGGGGUCAGCGCAAGCGAAGCUCUUGAUCGAAGCCCCGGUAAACGGCGGCCGUAACUAUAACGGUCCUAAGGUAGCGAAAUUCCUUGUCGGGUAAGUUCCGACCUGCACGAAUGGCGUAAUGAUGGCCAGGCUGUCUCCACCCGAGACUCAGUGAAAUUGAACUCGCUGUGAAGAUGCAGUGUACCCGCGGCAAGACGGAAAGACCCCGUGAACCUUUACUAUAGCUUGACACUGAACAUUGAGCCUUGAUGUGUAGGAUAGGUGGGAGGCUUAGAAGUGUGGACGCCAGUCUGCAUGGAGCCGACCUUGAAAUACCACCCUUUAAUGUUUGAUGUUCUAACGUUGACCCGUAAUCCGGGUUGCGGACAGUGUCUGGUGGGUAGUUUGACUGGGGCGGUCUCCUCCUAAAGAGUAACGGAGGAGCACGAAGGUUGGCUAAUCCUGGUCGGACAUCAGGAGGUUAGUGCAAUGGCAUAAGCCAGCUUGACUGCGAGCGUGACGGCGCGAGCAGGUGCGAAAGCAGGUCAUAGUGAUCCGGUGGUUCUGAAUGGAAGGGCCAUCGCUCAACGGAUAAAAGGUACUCCGGGGAUAACAGGCUGAUACCGCCCAAGAGUUCAUAUCGACGGCGGUGUUUGGCACCUCGAUGUCGGCUCAUCACAUCCUGGGGCUGAAGUAGGUCCCAAGGGUAUGGCUGUUCGCCAUUUAAAGUGGUACGCGAGCUGGGUUUAGAACGUCGUGAGACAGUUCGGUCCCUAUCUGCCGUGGGCGCUGGAGAACUGAGGGGGGCUGCUCCUAGUACGAGAGGACCGGAGUGGACGCAUCACUGGUGUUCGGGUUGUCAUGCCAAUGGCACUGCCCGGUAGCUAAAUGCGGAAGAGAUAAGUGCUGAAAGCAUCUAAGCACGAAACUUGCCCCGAGAUGAGUUCUCCCUGACCCUUUAAGGGUCCUGAAGGAACGUUGAAGACGACGACGUUGAUAGGCCGGGUGUGUAAGCGCAGCGAUGCGUUGAGCUAACCGGUACUAAUGAACCGUGAGGCUUAACCUUACAAC
rnacentral:rRNA from 1 species